CCUACGGGAGACAGCAGUGAGGAAUAUUGGUCAAUGGACGAGAGUCUGAACCAGCCAAGUAGCGUGAAGGAUGAAUGCCCUAUGGGUUGUAAACUUCUUUUAUAAAGGAAUAAAACGAGGCACGUGUGCCUUUUUGCAUGUACGUUAUGAAUAAGGAUCGGCUAACUCCGUGCCAGCAGCCGCGGUAAUACGGAGGAUCCGAGCGUUAUCCGGAUUUAUUGGGUUUAAAGGGAGCGUAGAUGGGUUGUUAAGUCAGUUGUGAAAGUUUGCGGCUCAACCGUAAAAUUGCAUUUGAUACUGGCAGUCUUGUGUACAGUUGAGGUAGGCGGCAUUCGUGGUGUAGCGGU
rnacentral:rRNA from 1 species